AUUCCAGCUCCAGUAGCGUAUAUUAAAGUUGUUGCAGUUAAAAAGCUCGUAGUUGGAUUUCGGAACCGGCCGAUUGGUCCGUCCUCUGGAUCGUGUACUGAUCGGUCUGUUCUUCUUCGCGAAGACCGCGUGUGCCCUUAACUGGGUGGGCGCGGGAUUCGCGACGUUUACUUUGAAAAAAUUAGAGUGUUCAAAGCAGGCAGUCGCUUGGAUAUCUCAGCAUGGAAUAAUAGAAUAGGACUUUGGUCUUAUUUUGUUGGUUUCCGAGACCGAAGUAAUGAUUAAUAGGGACAGUUGGGGGCAUUCGUAUUUAACUGUCAGAGGUGAAAUUCUUGGAUUUUGGAAAGAUGAACUACUGCGAAGGCAUUUACCAAGGAUGUUUUCAUCA
rnacentral:rRNA from 1 species